AGGUAGGUGGCGAAAUUGGUAUACGCAUCACACUCAAAAUGUGACAAUGAAAAUUUUGAGGGUUCGAAUCCCUUCCUACCUA
rnacentral:tRNA from 1 species